GACAAGAAAAAGAAGAAGAGCAAAAAGCCCAAAGAUCCUUCUAAUUCAUCAGGUGGGGACGACAUCGGUAGUCAAGAUGACGAGGAACCCCCUGAACAAGCACCAAAGAAAAAGAAAAAAGAUGAGGCGCCCAAGAAGAAGAAAAAGACGAAGAAAAAAU
rnacentral:ribozyme from 1 species